CUUGUAGAUAAAUGAGAAAACAAAGGAAAAGCACCUUGGCCUUCCAUGGUGGCUCAAGCUACAGGAAGGAAUCCUUUGUGGGUGAGCAAAGGAAGAGAAAGACCAGUUAGCCAGGUCUGCUGUGAAUAUCCUUCUGUCCUUUUUCUGGGUUGAUGAAGCCUAGAGUUGUCCUCAGCCUUUGGAAGAACAGACCUAAACCAAAACUGAAAUAAAAAAAAAAAAUUACUGAUCUUCCUGACAGAGAUGGUGAAGAGGGAGGUAAAGAUUCUUCCCUCCAAACACGAUUACCUGAGUGUGAGCUCCAGGAUCCACGCCGUGGAAGGAGAGAACCAAUUCCUGUGAGUUGUCUUCUGAGCUCCGCACUCAAUCCAUGGCAGUGAAGCUCAGUGUUCUGGAUAUGUAGCCCAAUAGGUGAUACGAAGUAGAAAUUGGGAUCGUUAUGGCUAAUCCGAGUAUGCCGGAAGAGUCUAAGUCUAACGUAUGAAACCCACAAACUGAAAUGAAUGGUAGAACUGGAUGGAGCUGUCUACUGAAGAAUCGGCACCAAGGCUUAAGCAGAGCAACCAAUCACAGUCACCACGGAGCCAACUGCUGCAACCAUGUACAGAUAGUAUCGGUCAUAACAAAGUGCAUCUGGCAGCUGUGGUGCAGAGUCAGCAAGAGAGGCCCUGUUUUCACUUCAUGGCCUGGCUUCGUCUUAAGUUUGAACAAGAGUUCUCAGGCCUGACUCUGCCUUUGGACGUGUUCCCAAACAUAAGAAUCCUAAAGUUGCAUAAAAUUAUACACCAGGAAGCUAAAGAAAAAAGAAGAUUGUUUAAAUGAAACACCAUGAGAUCCGAAGACAUUCUUACGUGUAGGUUACUUUUAAUUUUAGAAAGCAAAUUUAGUAGAUAACCAGUAGCAAAACCAUGCCAAACAUUCUGUGAAAGUAAUAUGCAGAAUGACCUCACUGUGGUAAAAUACAGGAUGUAUAAAUAUACAUGGGCUUGCCAAGGUCAGAUGUUUUGCUAAGUGCUUUAUAUAUAGUGUUUUAUGUGUAUAACUGAGAAAAAUCCAGAGAGGUACUUCUUACUUGCCCCCUUCAUAUCCACCAUCUUUAUGGUACCAAUUACGAAAACAAGUUAUAUAAUCAAGCCACAUGCCCAUCAGUAAAUCAACAGAUGAAGAUAAUGUGACACACAUGUACAUUCGAGGUUGGUUGGAAGAGAAUCAACAACAAAAUUAUCACAGUUCUACAAUGAAGCCUAUUGUGCGGCGUGCUAAUUAAAAAGUAAACCAGCAAAAAGGAUGGAAGUGUCGACCAUUAUGUGUUAAGCACAAUAGACAGAGUCAUAAAGGCGAAUAUCACAUGGCUCCUCUGUUAUCUAGAAGCUACAUUUGAAAUGCAUGUGCUUAAGAAGCGAGGCAGAAGGGCAUGAUUUAGGUGGAGGUGGGUGGACCAGAGGGAAGGAAAAGAGGAAUGAGA